UACGGAGGGGGCUAGCGUUGUUCGGAAUCACUGGGCGUAAAGCGUGCGUAGGCGGCCAUUCAAGUCAGAGGUGAAAGCCCAGGGCUCAACCCUGGAACUGCCUUUGAAACUAGAUGGCUGGAACACGGGAGAGGUGAGUGGAAUUCCGAGUGUAGAGGUGAAAUUCGUAGAUAUUCGGAAGAACACCAGUGGCGAAGGCGGCUCACUGGACCGUUGUUGACGCUGAGGCACGAAAGCGUGGGGAGCAAACAGG
rnacentral:rRNA from 2 species